rnacentral:sRNA from 1 species
UUAUUCGCUGAGCUCCCGACAGACCGGGAGACGGGGGAACCAAAAUCGCCAAUUUUCGAUUGGUGAAUGGGGUGAAUCCGCUGCGCCAAGGAUCGAAAGGGCCCAGUGGUAGGGUGCUCUCAGCCCGAAUCCGUCAGCUAACCUCGUAGGCGCGUUUUGAGAGA